rnacentral:lncRNA from 1 species
UGUUUUUUGUUUUUGUUUCUGUUUAUUAAUAAAUUUUGCAUCUACCUUAUGUUUAUAUGUGUUUUUAUGUUUUAGUUAGUGUUUGUGCCAAGUAGAACCUAUAGGAUAACCUAUGGUGAUAGUUAAUUUGAUUCUGCUGGAAAGAAGAAACUUUGCGCGCACGAAAUUAGUUUUGUUAAAUCACAUAAACGUGAUUUUGCAUUGAUUAUUUUUGCUUCUGAUCAAUAGAUAAAUUGUAAAUGACUUCCUAUUUUGGUAGGAUUUUUAGAGUUCCCGAAGUUUGCGUUAGUUAUAGAUUGCUACAGACUGUUCUGUUUUUGACAGAUUCUGUUUUUCGUGAGUUGUUUGCUUAUUUUGAUGCAUCUAUGGCUAGUAUUAAGUGGUAUGUGAUAUCUCCAACGUAUCUAUAAUUUUUGAUUGUUCCAUGCUAUUAUAUUACCCUAAUUGGAUGUUUAUGGGCUUUAUUUUACACAUUUAUAUCAUUUUUGGGACUAACCUACUAACCGGAGGCCCAGCCCAUAUUGCUGUUUUAUUGCCUAUUUUAGUAUUUCGAAGAAAAGGAAUAUCAAAUGGAGUCCAAAUGGAAUGAAACCUUCGGGAGCGUGAUUUUUGGAACGAACGUGAUCCAGAGGACUUGGAGUGCGAGUCAAGAAGCAGCCGAGGCUCCCACGAGAUAGGAGGGCGCCCCCCCCAUAGGGCGCGCCCCGCUGUCUCGUGGGUCCCUCGAGCGGCCACCGACGUACUUCUUCCUCCUAUAUAUACCUACGUACCCCGAAAACAUCCAGGAGCAGGACGAAACACAAUUUCCACCACCGUAACCUUCUGUAUCCGCGAGAUCUCAUCUUGGAACCUUCGCCGGCACUCUGCCGGAGGGGGAAUCGACCAUGGAGGGCUUCUACAUCAACAUCCUUGCCCCUCCGAUGAUUUGUGAGUAGUUUACCACAGACCUAUGGGUCCAUAGUUAUUAGCUAGAUGGCUUCUUCUCUCUUUUUGGAUCUCAAUACAAUGUUCUCCCCCUCUCUUGUGGAGAUCUAUUCGAUGUAAACUCUUUUUGCGGUGUGUUUGUCGAGAUCCGAUGAAUUGUGGGUUUAUGAUCAAGUUUAUCUAUGAAUAAUAUUUGAAUCUUCUCUGAAUUCUUUUAUGUAUGAUUGAGUUAUCUUUGCAAGUCUCUUCGAAUUAUCAGUUUGGUUUGGCCUACUAGAUUGAUCUUUCUUGCCAUGGGAGAAGUGCUUAGCUUUGGGUUCAAUCUUACGGUGUCCUUACCCAGUGACAGAAAGGGUUGCAAGGCACGUAUUGUAUAGUUGCCAUCGAGGAUAACAAGAUGGGGUUUAUAUCAUAUUGCAUGACUCUACAUCAUGUCAUCUUGCUUAAUGUGUUACUCUGUUCCUUAUGAACUUAAUACUCUAGAUGCAGGCAGGAGUCGGUCGAUGUGUGGAGUAAUAGUAGUAGAUGCAGGCAGGAGUCGGUCUACUUGUCAUGGACGUGAUGCCUAUAUACAUGAUCAUGCCUAGAUGAUCUCAUCAUUAUUCGCUUUUCUAUCAAUUGCUCGACAGUAAUUUGUUCACCCACCGUAAUACUUAUGUUAUCUUGAGAGAAAACACUAGUGAAACCUAUGGCCCCCGGGUCUAUCUCUUAUCAUAUUUGCUUCCAAUUUACUUUUAUUUGCAUCUUUACUUUUUGCAUCUAUAUUAUAAAAUACCAAAAUAAUAUCUAUCUUAUCUUACUACCUUUAUUAGAUCUCACUUUCGCAAGUGGCCGUGAAGGGAUUGACAACCCCUUUAUUGUGUUGGUUGCGAGUUCUUUGUUUGUUUGUGUAGGUGCGUGGGACUUUUGAGGAGCCUCCUACUAGAUUGAUACCUUGGUUCUCAAAAACUGAGGGAAAUACUUACGCUACUAUUGCUGCAUCACCCUCUCCUCUUCGAGGAAAACCAACGCAAGCUCAAGACGUAGCAAGAAGGAUUUCUGGCGCCGUUGCCGGGGAGGUCUUCGCUCAAGUCAAGACAUACCAAGUACCCAUCACAAAUCCAUCUCCCUCGCAUUUACAUUAUUUGCCAUUUGCCUCUCGUUUUCCUCUCCCCCACUUCACCCUUGCCGUUUUAUUCGCCCUCUCUUUCCCAAUCUCCUCCUCUCUUUUUGCUUGCCUUUUUCUGUUUGCUUGUGUGUCGGAUUACUUGCUGCCAUGGCGCAAGAUAAUACCAAAUUGUGUGAUUUUUCAAAUACCAAUAAUAAUGAUUUCCUUAGUACUCCUAUUGCUCCUCUUAAUGAUGUUGAGUCUUGUGAAAUCAAUACUGCUUUGCUGAAUCUUGUUAUGAAAGAUCAAUUCGCCGGCCUUCCUAGUGAAGAUGCCGCUACUCAUCUAAACAACUUUGUUGAUUUGUGUGAUAUUCAGAAGAAGAAAGAUACGGAUAACAAUAUUGUCAAAUUGAAGUUAUUUCCGUUUCCACUUAGAGAUCGUGCUAAAGUUUGGUUUUCGUCUUUGCCUAAAAAUAGUAUUGAUUCUUGGAACAAGUGCAAAGAUGCUUUUAUCUCUAAGUAUUUUCCUCCUGCUAAGAUUAUCACUCUUAGGAAUGACAUUAUGAAUUUUAAACAACUUGAUCAUGAGCAUGUUUCCCAAUCUUGGGAAACAAUGAAAUUGAUGCUUCGCAAUUGCCCUACUCAUGGUUUGAAUUUAUGGAUGAUCAUACAAAAAUUUUAUGCCGGUUUGAACUUUGCUUCUAGAAAUCUCUUAGAUUCGGCUGCGGGAGGCACGUUUAUGGAAAUCACGUUAGGAGAUGCUACAAAACUUCUUGAUAAUAUUAUGGCUAAUUAUUCUCAAUGGCACACCGAAAGAUCUUCUAGUAAAAAAGUGCAUGCUGUAGAAGAAAUCAAUGUUUUGAGUGGAAAGAUGGAUGAACUUAUGAAGAUGUUUUCUACUAAAAAUACUCCUCUUGAUCCCAAUGAUAUGCCUUUGUCUUCUUUGAUUGAGAAUAAUAAUGAAUCUAUGGAUGUGAAUUUUGUUGGUAGGAAUAGUUUUGGAAACAAUGCUUAUAGAGGAAACUUUAAUGCUAGUCCGUUCCCUAGUAAUUCCUCUAAUAAUUAUGGAAAUUCCUACAAUAAUUCUUAUGGUAAUCUUAAUAAGAUGCCCUCUGAUUUUGAGAAUAGUGUGAAAGAAUUUAUGAUUUCUCAAAAGAAUUUUAAUGCUUUGCUUGAAGAAAAAUUGCUCAAAGUUGAUGAUUUGGCUAGGAACGUUGAUAGACUUUCGCUUGAUGUUGAUUCUCUCAAACUUAGAUCUUCUCCUCCUAAGCAUGAUAUCAAUGAGUCUCUCAAAGUAAUGAGAAUUUCCAUUGACGAGUGCAAGAAAAGAACCGCUAGAUUGCGUGCUAAAAAAGAUAGCUUUAUAAAAGUGUGUUCUUCUAGUUUACAUGAAAAUAAUGAUGAGGAUCUUAAAGUUAUUGAUGCGUCUCCUAUUAGAUCUAUGUUUUGCAAUAUGAAUUUGGAUGAUUAUGGUACUGAUGAUGAAUCAACUUUGCCUAGAAGGCGUCCAAAGAAUUCGGAGUUUUUAGAUCUUGAUGCUAAAUUUGGUAAAAGUAGGAUUGGAGAGUCCUCAACUUCAAAUAACAUUGAACCUACUAUCUCGGAUUUCAAGGAAUUUGAUUAUGAUAAUUGUUCUUUAAAAGGUUGUAUUUCCUUGUUGCAAUCCGUUGUUAAUUCUCCUCAUGCUUAUAGUCAAAAUAAAGCUUUUAUCAAACAUAUUGUUGAUGCCUUGAUGCAAUCUUAUGAUGAAAAACUUAAUUUGGAAGUUUCUAUACCUAGAAAACUUAAUGAUGAGUGGGAACCUACUAUAAAGAUUAGAAUUAAAGAUCAUGAGUGUUUUUCUUUGUGUGAUUUGGGUGCUGGUGUUUCCACAAUUCCGAAAACUUUAUGCGAUAUUCUAGGUUUCCAUGAUCUUGAUGAUUGCUCUUUAAAUUUGCACCUUGCGGACUCCACCAUUAAAAAGCCUAUGAGAAGGAUCAAUGAUGUUCUCAUUGUUGCAAAUAGAAAUUUGGUGCCCGUGGAUUUUAUCGUUCAUGAUAUAGAUUGCAAUCUUUCUUGCCCUAUUAUUCUUGGUAGACCUUUCCUUAGAACGAUUGGCGCGAUUAUUGAUAUGAAGGAAGGGAAUAUUAGAUUCCAAUUUCCAUUAAAGAAAGGCAUGGAGCACUUUCCAAGAAAUAAAGUCAAAUUACCUUAUGAAUCUAUCAUGCGGGCUACUUAUGAAUUUAGUGCCAAAGAUGGCACUCGUUAGAUCUAUCUUUGCUUUUAUACCUAGCUAGGGGCGUUAAACGAUAGCGCUAGUUCGGGUCCAUAGUUAUUAGCUAGAUGGCUUCUUCUCUAUUUUUGGAUCUCAAUACCAUAUUCUCCCCCUCUCUUGUGGAGAUCUAUUUGAACUCUUUUUGUGGUGUGUUUGUCGAGUUCUGAUGAAUUGUGGGUUUAUGAUCAAGUUUAUCUAUGAGAAAUAUUUGAAUCUCCUCUGAAUUCUUUUAUGUAUGAUUGAGUUAUCUUUGCAAGUCUCUUCGAAUUAUCAGUUUGGUUUGGCCUACUAGAUUGAUCUUUCUUGCCAUGGGAGAAGUGCUUAGCUUUGGGUUCAAUCUUGCGGUGUCCUUACCCAGUGACAUAAAGGGUUACAAGGCACGUAUUGUAUUGUUGCCAUCGAUGAUAAAAAGAUGGGGUUUAUAUCAUAUUGCUUGAGUUUAUCCCUCUACAUCAUGUCAUCUUUCUUAAUGCGUUACUCUGUUCUUAUGAACUUAAUACUCUAGAUGCAUGCUGGAUAGCGGUCGAUGUGUGGAGUAAUAGUAGUAGAUGCAGGCAGGAGUCGGUCUACUUUUCGCGGACGUGAUGCCUAUGUACAUGAUCAUGCCUAGAUAAUCUCAUAAUUAUUCGCUUUUCUAUCAAUUGCUCGACAGUAAUUCGUUCACCCACCGUAAUACUUAUGCUAUCUUGAGAGAAGCCAUUAGUGAAACCUAUGGCCCCCGGGUCUAUCUUUUAUCAUAUAAGCUUUCAAUCUACUUUUAUUUGCAUCUUUACUUUUCCUAUCUAUAUUAUAAAAUACCAAAAAUAUAUUUAUCUUAUCAUACUAUCUCUAUCAGAUCUCACUUUUGCAAGUGGCCGUGAAGGGAUUGACAACCCCUUUAUUGCGUUGGUUGCGAGUUCUUUGUUUGUUUGUGUAGGUGUGUGGGACUUUUGAGGAGCCUCCUACUGGAUUGAUACCUUGGUCCUCAAAAACUGAGGGAAAUAUUUACGCUCAUAUUGCUGCAUCACCCUUUCCUCUUCAAGGAAAACCAACGCAAGCUCAAGACGUAGCACCCGCCGCCGGCAUGCAGGAACUAAAUUGAAGUUUCUGCAAGACUAUGGUGCACCAUGGUUGGAUCUGACGCAAAUCCAGCUCACCGAGGAGGCCUGCUUCGAGAACAUCCGCGGCCUCUACUCCAGCAUGACGGCAAUGAGCUCCCAUGCUGGGCACUCCUUUGACGAUUUUUGCAAACUGAAACUAUGUUUUUGAAACAUGUGUCAUGUUGCAAAUGUUUGGCCUCAUACGCUCUAACAUUGUGUGCUCCUCCAACGCUUUUUGCAACCAGGGCUAUGUUUCUAAAGCAAGACCCAUGUUGCAAAAAAAACCUCGCUGCCGAACUACUUUUUCUAAAACAAGACCUGUAUUGCAGAAAUUUUCUAAAUCUAGACCCUGUUGCUUAAAAAAAACUUCAGCACUGAACCGUUUUUUAUUUCUGAAACAAGAUCUUUGUUGCAGAAACCACUGAUCUCUGAAUCAUACCUGCUUGAGUCAUCGCCGGCCACCGCCGAUCCCGAGCAAGUCAUCGUCGCCACUGCGGUGGAUAAGGCCUGGUGGCACAACGCCUUGCGCCGCCACACCCGUCCGCCGGCUCCCAAAUCCAGUCGCUCGCCCUCUAAUCCAGACGAGCCCCGAACCCCUGCCCCCCUACGGUUACCCAGUUGCAGGAAUGACUGUCUUGAAACAACAGGUGAGUUGCAGAAAAACAGACGCGGCUUCGGCGAACGCGGGGACACUAUCGACCGUCUGAUCAACACACGAUCAAACGGCCACGGAGCCGGCGGACGGGCGCGCGCGACCGCCCGGUAGAAGGUAAGCUUUUUCCUUUCUUGUUUUAUCACUAGUUUGGUUUAUAAAAGAAAAAUAAAAACAUAUGGAACUGAGGUUGCCUCAUAUGCUUCGGCUUUUUAAUAUCUUCGUGAAAUGGUGGAAAGGAAAAUUGUGCCCAAUUGUUAGAAGAAGAAUUCAAUAAAAUGUUUGGCAUAAAAUCUUUGAAUGGUGAGCAUAUAUGCAAUGUUGUUAUUAUGAACUCUAUGAAUAUCCAAAAUACUAAUGAUGAUUGCACUAGUCAUGACAAAAAUGUUUCUUAUAAGCAUGUCAAUUUUUGUGGAGUGCAUAAAAUUUGUGAAGACAUGCCUUAUAGAGAUGAUAGAUUUUGUAAGAAGCAUAAACAAGAUAAAACCAAUUGGUGGUUUAAAGUGAUAGAUGAAUUUGCCACAAAAUUAUGCUUUGUUCAUCCCACCACUUGUGAAUUUUGCAAUAUGAUUGGUCAUCUUAAUUUCCAAUGCAAAUUUUUUCAUGAUCGAAUCGUGUCCAAAUAUUGUAAUGACUUGAUCACCCUUGAAAUUUAUAAUGAAUUUUGUUUAUUUUUGGGGUGUGAAGAAUAUUUAUGUGCAUUUUAAUUUAUUGGACCAAGAACUUUGUUUGAUAUGAUGCACUUUUGGUUGUAGGAUUAUAAAGUUUGAUUGAUAUGAUGCACUUUUGGUUGUAGAAAUCUGAAAAUAUUGCUUUACAUGAUGAGUUUGAUGUUCAAAUGCGCUUGUAUAUUAGCUGUACAUUGGUUGUACACAGCCGCGCAUCCGGUUUUACAUCUUCACAUAUGCACCAUCUAUUGGAGUUGGAGUUCUACAUCACAAAUCUAUUGGAGGCGACUAGCAAAAAUGCCCGUGCGUUGCAAUGGGAGGAAAAUAAUGACGGCAGGUGCAAGUACAUGUGUUAUGUGCAAGCACAAUGUCCCAUAAUGUCGGAUCAGUAUAAACCACAUGCUAAUUAUUUCAUCCAUCAAACUUCUAAAAAAUGCAACAUUCAGACCUUUAUCUACUACCUCUAUAAAAGCACGAGAGGGCGGAGAACCAAUUCAUCUCAUCCAUCCAAUUAAAGAAUCUAACGAUCCAAAUCAUCGGAAUGUUUAGCAUCAAACCACGGUUAGCUCAGCCCACUAAUCCCAUGAUCCACCCCUGUCAUCCGUCCCCCCGGCUCGAAGAAAAAAACCACGAGAGCACCAUGCUCUCUCGUCGGUUGCUCAUAUCCUGCUCCCGCAUGACCUCUCGCCCCCUCCUCCUCCUCCUCCUCCCGCCUCCUGCCUCUCCCUCCUCCGCUCCCUCCUGCUCCGCCUCCGUGCCAUUCCCCGCCCCCACCUCCCCACCCUCCUCUCCCUCGCCCUCCCCGGCAAAAACGGCAACGACGGCGGCGGUGGCAACAACAGCGGCGGCGGUGGGGAUGACGAAACAGGGGACGGCGGCGGCGAGUGGGGCGGCCACCGGGGGGAGGCGCUGUUCGUGCUGCCGCAGGCGGGGAGGAAGCUCUCCAGCCUGCCGGCGGACCUCGCCAUGGCCGUGGAGGGCGGCCGCGUCACGGGAUAUGGAGCGCUCGCCGCUGCUCCAUUGGCUGCUGGGCUUUAGAUGGUUCAGGGAGCGCCUCCUCGCCGACGACCUCUUCCUCGCCAAGCUCGCCAUGGAGAUGGGCGUCGGCAUGAUCGCCAAGGUCCGUGGGAUCGACAUGGAUGAAUCAUGAAUGCUUUCAAAUUAUACUUACGCGCAACCCUGCCGCGGCCACCGCUAGGGUGCCGGCGAGGGAUAGGCUCUGCUUUGCCCCCGCAUCUCCACCAGCUACCGCCGCGCCGCCGCUCCUCGCCAUGGAAGGUGCCCACGUUGCCGACCCUGUGCGCCGCCCGCGGCACAGCUGCAAGGUGGUGAUGUCCACCCCUGCGCUGGAGCACGCCACCUUCGUCCUCAAGCGCCAGGCGGUGCUGCUCACGGCGGCAGAUGCGCGCCGGCCCUCUAGUGCCAUGGCGGUCGGGCUGGAGCUCGAGGCGCGGCUGCGCAUCCCGCCGCACCAGCUGCGGAUCACCAGCCACGACCCGGAGGACUACCUCAUCAUCUUCGACCUGCCGAUCCAUCAAGACCAAGUUGUCAAGCUCGGCUCGCUGACAGUCGACGGCGCCAAGUUCUUCAUCAAGCGCUGGCACGAGGAUGACCACGCGGUGGUGCAAACCUUCAACUACCAUGUCCGGGUGGUCAUUGAGAAGAUGCCGCGGCAGUUCUGGUCCGUCGAGGGGGCGGAGGAGGCCCUGGGCUGCCGCGUCGACCGCCUCAACAGCCGCACCUUCGAGCGGAGCCACACCAAAAGAUUCGCCUGCUGGGUGUGGGUGUGGGAUGUUGGGCUCAUCCCGACCAAGCACACCUUCUGGCGGAUGGAGCGAGGGGCGGGCCGCGUGGAGGAGAUGCUCGGUUUCUCCCCGCCGGGACGCGUCAUUGCCACACCACCAUCUGCGAGCCGGCACGACGUCCUCAUCCACGUGGACCGCAUCGAAGACUGGUCGCCCUACGAGCCGCGGUCGCCGCGCUCGGCGCAGAGCGGCCUGCCUUCCUCGGAGUCUGACGACGACGACAGGCCCAUGCCGCGGAUCAUCCCCGUCGCCUCCUGGAAGAAAGGAGUGGAGGACGGUCAGCGCGACCCUCAGCACCGACGCCAGCUCGCCGUGCUCGCCGAUGUGGGCUGCCGCGGUGCGCCCCGUGGCGGUGGCCGUAAGGAUGACGAUGGAGAAGACCAGGGCGGCCGCAGAUCAUGGAAGGACACGCUGCUAGGCCAGAGCCGCGCCGGCAAGGAGAAGGUGGGGGAGCAGGAGAGCUCCUCCAGGCGCCGUAGCCGCUCACCGCCGGGGCAGCGCUGCUCGGAGAGCUCGCGCGGCCGUCGCAGCUCCGCCCGUCAUCAAGCUGCGGUCACCGGGGGUGCUACCCUCCAUGCGCCGCGCCCCCUACCCCCGCUGGCUGCGGCUGCGGCCGCCACGGACCAAGACCCGAUCGCUGAUUUCUUUGCCGGCGCCAAGACCCAGCUCCCGCAGCCACCACCUUUCGACUGCAUGGCUGCUGAGCUGGAGGCUCACGUGUCUGCCGCCGUCGCGACCCCACUGGAGUUCAACGACCAAGUCAACCGCGUCAACAAGGCGGACGCGGGCCUGCCAGACGCCUUCGGCCCAACCUUGGCGGGCCCAGCUAUUGCGGUGGGCCUCCUCAGUCGCAAGGAGCCGGCCCGCGCCGCAGCGGUGGAGGUGCAGCUCGGAGCCGUAACGCAACAGGUAUGCUGCCUAUAGCUGGGUGCAGAGGGCGAAGAUUCAGACCUGAACGCGGCCCUGCUGCGCCUCUUCCAAGCCUUCAAGCCGCCGCUGGUGCCCGACGCACCGGUGCGACGCUCGUCGGCCCCGCCAAAGACCAGGGCCACGCCUGCCCCGGUGCGCCAUAGUGCCUGCCAGGCGGCAAAUCCGUCGACGGUGCCAGUUGCGCAGCGGGGGACGCUGCGACUUGUGCGCGAGCUGGGGCUACUUGGCCCGAAGGAGAAGAUGACCACCAAGGCUGCUGAGAAGUUGCUCCGGAAAUUCGACGAGCCGCUCACCGACGACGACAUCGCCUGCAUCGCCAAGCUGACUCGCCUCAACAAGGAGGCGCUGCGCGUAGCGGCCUCCAUGGCCGGCGCGGAUGGAGUGGCCGAGGAGGCCGUAGUCUGGUCAUGUUAGUGCAAGCUAUUAGGUCUAUCCAACGGCGCCCGGCCAUAAGCGGGGUUGACUUAGGGCUCGAUGUUUCUCUUGUAGGGCUAGUGGUUACGAGUAGCUGGCGUUGCUGCAAUUUGGGGCCUAUUGGUGGGCAGCAACGUUCCCUGAAUGUUGGGGGAGUGUUCUUGUUGUGGUCAGUACUUCUAUCUUCAAUCAAUGAAACUAGUAGCCGUUGGAGGAUGAUCAGGUGUUCCCAUGGAUGACAACCACUGUCCGAUAGUUAGUUGGAAUGUACGCGGGCUUAACAUGCUAGCCAAGCGUGACGCUGUCUGCGAAGCGGUCACGGCGCAUCGACCAGCAAUUGUAUGUCUUCAGGAGACGAAAAUUGACACUUGGUCGCCGGCUCUAGUUAGGGAUAUAGGAGGUAGCAGGCUAGCCGACUGCGUAGUGCUGCCUGCGAUCGGGUCCAGGGGCGGGGUGGCCAUUCUUUGGGAUAGCGAGAUUGUCUCGAUCGUGUCCCAGGCAAUAGGAGAAUUUGCCAUCACUACAAAGGUAACGAUCAGGCAAUCGGCCACCACAUUUUGGCUGACCGCGGUCUAUGGUCCGGCAGACGACAGUCGGGAGGAUGCUUUCCUUUUGGAGCUAGCAAGAUCUGCCCCCCCCCCCCUGGCGAACCUUUGCUCCUCAUUGGUGAUUUCAACAUAAUUUACGAAGCUAGAGAUAAGAACAAUUUCAACCUUAAACGGCGCAUCAUGGGAAAGUUUAGAGCGGCACUAGAUGUGGCAGGCUUGCGGGAAAUCAAAUGUAAAAACAGGCGAUUCACCUGGAGUAACGAGCGGCAAAACCCAACGCUGGUUAGUAUAGAUAAAUUCUUCUGCACUAUGAGCUGGGAACUUCUCUUCCCCGCCUAUGGCUUAAUGGCCGCAGCCACGGCGUGCUCCGAUCACUGCCCGUUGGUCUUAGCGCCAUGCGAAGCUCCGAUCCAUCGUGCUCGCUUUAGAUUUGAAUCCUUCUAGCCACAGUUCCCGUGCUUUCACAUUACCGUGGAGCGCGCCUGGAGCAGGCCGGUUCAGCAGCGUUGCGCGUUUGCGCGUCUGCAGGUCAAGGUGGCCAAGGUGGCGCACGAUCUGAAGAUAUGGAGCAGAUCGUUGUUUAGCGACGCCAAGACCCAAUUCCAUAUAGCCAGUGAGGUCAUCCUUCGACUUGAUGUGGCGCAGGAGACGCGAACACUGUCAGUUGCAGAGUUCAACCUGCGCAAACUGCUCAAGCUAAGGCUGGUGGGGCUGGCGGCAAUCGAGCGGGCUAGAAGGAGGCAAGCCUCCAGGGUUCUUUGGCUGCGAGCAGGCGAUGCCAGCAUGAAGUUCUUCCAUGCCAAGUGUUGUUCCCGAAGGCGCAAAAACUUCAUCCAUUCAAUCCAGAGCGACGAUCGCUGUGCCACGGCGCAUGGUGACAAGGAGCAGCUAAUACACGACCACUUCAGCAGCAUGAUGGCAGCAGGCGCGGGACGACGCGUCACUCUGAACUGGAGAGAGCUGCAGCUACCAAGGGUUGAAGCAGCAGGGCUGGACAAUCCAUUCACAGAGGGAGAGGUCUGGGCAGCAAUCAUGCAGUCACCAGCGGAGAAGGCGCCAGGCCCUGAUGGCUUCAAUGGAACUUUCUUCAGGGCCUGCUGGUCGAUCAUCAGUGCAGAUCUCAUGGCAGCUUUCCACCAAUUCUACCGCCUGGCGGGCGGGAACCUUGAUGUUUUGAACUUGGCCUUUGUUGCCCUGCUGCCGAAGAAAGAUGGAGCUGUGCGGAUGACAGAUUUUCGCCCGAUUAGUCUAGUCCACUGCUUUGCAAAGCUAGUCACAAAGGUGCUGUCAAUUCGGCUCUCCAAAGUUAUCAACAAGAUCGUCUCCCAUCCUCAGUCAGCCUUCCUGAAGACGAGAUGCAUACAGGACAGUUUCCUCUAUGUCCAAAAUGGAGUGAGGGCUCUGCAUCGAUCCAAAACCCCAGCGAUGUUACUCAAACUGGACAUCUCAAAAGCCUUUGACAGCGUGUCCUGGGACUACCUGCUAGAGCUGCUGCAGGAAUUGGGGUUCAGUGCCAGAUGGAGGGACUGGAUCGCCUGGCUGUUGGCAACAUCAAACUCGGAGUUCAUGCUUAAUGGAGUGCCAAGGAGGAAGAUUAAACACCGCAAGGGCCUGCAACAGGGCGACCCGAUGUCCCCACUGCUGUUUAUUCUGGCCAUUGACCCGUUGCAGCGCCUAAUCGAUGCAGCAGUUCAACAACAGAUGACGCAGCCACUGCCGAGGAGGGAGUUGAAGCUGCGAGUUAGCCUGUACGCAGAUGACGCAGUGGUGUUCAUGAACCCAGUGAAAGAAGAGAUGGAGGUGCUAACCACCAUACUGAACCUGUUCGGCGAGGCCACGGGUCUAAAGAUUAACAGGCAUAAAUCAACAGCGACCCCAAUCAGAUGUGAAGAACUGGAUGUCCAGCAAAUUCUACAAAGCUUUGGAGGAAUCAUCACAAAUUUCCCGCUAAAGUACUUGGGGCUCCCGCUAACUCUGACUAGAACUAGACUUGUGCACCUCCAGUAUGUUUUGGACCGAAUCAGAGCGCGGCUAGCGGGAUGGAAGGGCAUGCUUAUGUCCAUUGCGGGCCGGCGAGUCCUCGUCAGAGCAGUCCUAACUGCAAUCCCUGCGUUUGCAAUGACAGUGCUUCGCAUGCCCAAGAAAUUCUUCAGAGAAAUUGACAAGGUCAGGCGGCACUUCCUGUGGGCACAAGAGAAUGAGCUUUCCGGAGGCAAAUGCAAAGUUAGCUGGAGCAAAGUGUGCUCACCGGUGGAUAAGCAGGGACUUGGCAUCCUUAACCUUGAGUGCUUUAGCAGGGCCCUGCGGCAACGUUGGCUAUGGCAAUCCUGGAAGCACCCAGAAAAGCCAUGGGUGGGCAUGGAGGUGCCGUGCACUGCCUCUGAUCGGUUGUUUUUCAGCACGGCCACCUCGGUUACGAUUGGUAAUGGACAGACGGCAAGGUUUUGGACCUACUCCUGGCACCAGGCCGGUGCACUGCACCUCCUCUUUCCAGCGUUGUACCAGCACUCCAGGAGGAAGAACAGAUCGGUAGCAGAUGCCAUACGGGAUGAUCAAUGGAUCCUCGACCUUUCGCACGGGCAGACAGAUCAAAUAGUACGGGACUGCGUUGCCCUGGCAAGACUGCUACGACUGCUGCCCGUAAGCCUCGUUUCUGACACGAGUGACGAGAUCAGAUGGAACUUGGAGGGCACCGGCUGCUACACUGCUGCUUCGGCUUACCGGGCGCAAUUCCAAGCGAACCUCAACUCCACAUACCCGCAGCUAAUCUGGAAGACUUGGGCGCCAGGGAAACUGAAGAUUUUCUUUUGGCUGCUCCUGCUAAAUAGGCUCUGGUGCAAUGAUCGACUGCAGCGAAGAGGAUGGCCUAAUGCAUACUUCUGUCAGUUCUGCUUCAGAAACCUCGAGACGGCUGACCACAUCUUCUGGUCCUGCCCCUUCACUCUCACAAUUUGGAACAUCAUUUCGUUUUGGAAGGGCUGUGAAGCUCUGCGUUUGCAGCCUGAUGAACAGCCCACAAGCAGCGCCGAGAGGAUCAUGAGCAUUGUCCAGGCCUCAGAACCAGUGUUCAGGAAGGGCAUAAAGUCACUCACAAUGCUAGCAGCCUGGGAAAUUUGGAAACACAGGAACGAUUGCACUUUCAGGGGGAAGGAGGCAUAUGAGACAGUAAUCUUGCAGGCCAUCAGGCGAGGCAUCGAGCUAUGGAGGCAGGCCGGAGCAACAUGCCUGAUGCAUCCAUUCACGCUGCCACCGGAAGGGAUAGGCUGAGUAGAGCUGGCGUUGAGACGUGUCGCCAUGUUUUUUCUUCAGUUUCCGGUUUCCAGUUUUCAGUUAUUCCUUUGAUCAUUCCGAUCACCCCAUGUAUUUGACUUUUCUCCACUGCUUCCUGCUAUGAUCAACAUGAAAAGCCAGCCAAGCUGGAUCUUUCAAAAAAAAUAUUCUUAGUUUAUCCUCCUUUGGUUUUCAGAAGAAAAAAAAUGAAAUCGCGUUUUAAUUUGUCUGACCCUUUUUUGUUGCUGCUCCAUAAGGUCCUCCCGGCGCCUCACACUUGCCGCCGUGCCAUCUCUCCAUCCAGAGUGCCCCGAGGCUCCCUCCCACCAUUCCUUCCCCCGCGGCAGUGUCACCAUGGACCACGGAGCAAAGUCUCGACCGCGGCGGCGCUGUCGUGUUGAGGAGGGAGGAUCAAGAAGGGGGGUGGAGCUGGGGCGACGGCCACACGGAAGGAGCCGGGAGCAUGCCAGAGCGGCACUCAGUUUGCUCAGGUGCCGCUGUGCAGUCGUAUCUACGAGCAGGUAUAUUUGGAAUUGGAGGAAACAUAUCCUGAUUACUCUCUGGUUUUAUCUACUUUGUCUCGUUUGCUUGCUUCAACUCAUGGCGUUCUCAUCCAUGGAGCCUGCGGCCGGGUGGGGAGCUCCUCGCAAGUUGUGGCGACGGCUGAAAUAAAUUGCGCUCGUUCAUGUGGUCGACAGUGAGGAAAAAGCACAUGUUUUUUUGGUUGAGGUUGCUCUGCACUUGUUCGUAGCAAUACCAAACAACGGUAGAAACUUCAUUUGUUUGUCAGGCUUGUUUGUGGUUUUACUAAACUUCUUUGUCAGGCUUGUUUGUGGUCUUUCUGCUGAACUUCAUUUGUAGAUAUUGCACAAAAGCAUGAUGACGACUACGAGCCCGCCCCGUCGCCGCCGCGCCCCUGCUGCUUCCGCAGUGCACCGCUAUUCUUACACCUGCAGCCUUCACAGCCUGCCUCUACCGCUCCCGCCAGCACCCCGUCGCGGCUGUCGUCGCCGGAGAGACACCCACCGCCGGCACAGGCGCAUGAGCCAUCGCCGCCGGAGAUAAGUCAGAGACCCGGAGCCCCCAUCCUGGUAUUGGACCUUCCAAUUCAAGGCACCUUCCACCUAAUACUGGAGUAAGUGGUAUGGCACUCUCUCUCCUUUCCGGAUGGGCCGAUGGAUAAGAUGCAUUUUUGUCCCCUCUUUGAAUUGAGUACAAGCAUGUAUCUGAACUUUUACCCACUUCUCUUCUGUCGAUGGGCACGAUGUGGUGCAGGUUCCACAGAUUCAGGAAAAGCAGGGCUGAAUGGAAUCCAACGGAACUAAUGUUGCAGCUAUAGCAUCCGAUAUUUAGUGAUACAUGUUUAAUUCGGUGAUAACAGGUAUAUCAUCCCAUAUUGUUUCACUUGCAUGGUUCUGUUCCAUUGAUGUUGUAGCUGGUACUUGCCAGUCUCUAUGGAGUAUAGGUACGAGUGGAGUAAGUGAGAAGAGUACAUUAUUGUAGGUUGCAUGUACUUGUUGUAGUUACCUAAACCAUGCAAAAAUGGACAGAUUUUUCAACAUAUGAAGCUGUUAUUAGCUAACAUCUCUUCUUUUUUCUCAUUUAGUUGCAUUACUGGAAGGUGGGUCAGGGCGCAGUGUUGAAUCAUCUUGAUUGGCCCGAGAGAAAUGAGGACGCUGCGACAGGCAACCUUUUGCUUACUAACCUCGCAAAUAUUUGAAGCGUAAGUCUCUAACUACGAAAAUGAUCUCAAAACCUUUCAUGUGACAUUGCACCUAUGAUAUGGAGAGUAUGACGAAUUAUACAAAAAGAAAAUAUAAUUUAUGGUAAUAGAAUUACAUGUAGUACUUAAUAUUUAUUACCCGUAUGAAGCAAAGUGUCUACAACCUUUAUAACUACAGCAGUUUAACUUUGAUACUCGGCAAUAGGUAUGCCGAGCUUUGCGGUUUGCCACUUCCUGAAGUAAGUAGAAAUAGGAGUUCCAGUUUCUUGAUUUUCAGGAAACUGAGGAGGAGCGUUUGAGUAAAGAGGAGAGGAAUGGUUGGGAAGCAAAUAAGAGGAAAAGGAGAGGAAAAGCAGGAGGAUGAACUGCUAAAAUAUAGCUAUGAUCCCAUGAGUAUAUUAUAAAUAUCAUUUUAGUUUGUUGUCUUUUUAUUGAUUUUUCUUUGUGAUAAUAAUUGAGAAAUAAAGAAUAAUUAUGGCAUGUCAAAUAUUACCAUACUACCAGAUAUUUUUUAUUAUAUUUAGACAUUUCCAUUUUGGGUAGACAUGUGUUAUGUUUCUUAACAUUUUCUUCUUCUUGAUCUCGACUUACUUUGGACAUGCAAAGUGAGGACUUGGAUGUCUGCACACUCUAAUUUGGCUCUGAAGUUUCAAUUUGGAUAUUUGUCUCUUCUAGGUGACUUGUAAUGCAAAUUCUCUAUAAAUACAUUCAUGGAGCUAGGUGAAAACUAAGGGGACUUAUAGCAUGGCUACGGAAAAAGCUAAUAAGUGAUCACUAGGCAGUAGCACCAUAUGUUACAUAUAACUGGGUCAAGCUUUCAUCUUAUUUGGUGCCUCCUUCAUGUGUCCGUGUGUCCAUGUAUGGAUGAAAAACUAUGUAAAUAUUUGACAACUAUUUUGAUAAUUAUUUGAUGUCAAGUGAGACGUGCGUUGCACGUGCAAGCUUACUAGUUGAAGAAAGUGCAAUAUUCAGACGCCGGAUGCAGACAUUAACAUCUCUUUACUCACCCGCGUGCAAAAUCCUUCCAUGAAAUUCCAUUUAUAAAUACUCUUAUCCAAAGCCUUCCCUUCAAGUAUAUGCUAUUUAUUCAGUCUCUUUGUGUUGCUCAGUCGUCUUGUCUAUUGGAUACUUUCUUGUGCUUCCGGUUUAAUGGGAUUUUAACGCAUGAUCGAUGCUCCGCUUUAAUCAUCACCAUGGAAAGUUUACCCAUGCAUGUCAUCUGCCCGUGAGCCCUCCUUUAAUUAUUAUGCGAACAAACACGAGUGAUGUGCUAAAUCGAUGGUGCAACUUCCAUCCUUAAGAAUGCAUAGCAGCCCCACAAUCCUCAGGAUUUAUCAUUUCUUCAUGGCAGCCCAGUUAAUUUCUUCCCAUGAUCUUCAGAUUUUGUUCUCAUUUGGUUUUAAAGUGAUAGAUGAAUUUUCUACUCCCUCCGUCCCAAAAUUCUUGUCUUAGAUUAGUCUAGAUACGGAUGUAUCUAAUACCAAAACGUGACUUGAUACAUCCGUAUUUAGACAAAUCUAAAACAAGAAUUUUGGGACGGAACGAGUACAAAAUUACGCUCUGUUCAUCCCAUCACUUGUGAAUUUUGCAAUAGGGUUUUGGUCAUCUUAAUUUCCAAUGGAAAUUUUUUUCAUGAUCAAAUCAUGUCCAAAUAUUGUAAUGACUUGAUCACCCUUUUACUUUAUAAUGAAUUUUGUUUAUUUUUGAGGUGUGAAGAAUAUUUAUGUGCAUUUUAAUUUAUUGGACCAAGAACUUUGUUUGAUAUGAUGCACUUUUGGUUGUAGGAUUAUAAAGUUUGACUGAUAUGAUGCACUUUUGGUUGUACAAAUCUGAAAACAUUGCUUUACAUGAUGAGUUUGAUGUUCAAAUGCGGUUGUAUAUUGGCUGUACAUUGGUUGUACACAGCCGCACAUCCGGUUUUACAUCUUCACAUAUGCACCAUCUAUUGGAGUUGGAGUUCUACAUCACAAAUCUGUUGGAGGCGAUAAUAUGGAUCAGAGGGAGUAGCAAGAAUCAUCAUUAUGCACCACAGGAGGUGGUGUAACACGGCCUUAGCACAAGAAUAGUCCAAAACUACAGUCACAACAACAAUAAUACUCAAGCUGCUACUGAUGGAGAAUGCGUUAAAUACGCAGGGUUGGAUGUCUACAGGUGAAGGUGUCUACAGGUGAAGGUGUCUACAGCGUUAAAUACGCAGGGUUGGAUGUCUACAGGUGAAGGUGUUCCAGCGGCACUGCAAGCAGCAAUGCCAAUUCUCAUCCAGAUUAUGAGCGGUUGUAUUUCAGUUUGCAUUAGAGACCAUGAUAUCAAACAAGUCAGAACUCUAAGACCAAGACAUGUUGGACACUGACACAUUGUUAUAGUGAACAUAUCAGAUAUAAAAAGCUUAGUAAAAAGAAAGAUAUCAGCAGCUUAUAAUAAAUAAAUAAAAUAAAUAAAUAAAAUAAAUAAAUAAACAAACAAUACCAGACAUCAGGAACUUGCAAAAACAAGGUACGUAGAAAGACAAUGUGGCAAAUGGCCAAAUAUAUUAACCAAUAUAGGUUAUGAGUUUGCUCCUCUCACAAUUUAUCCGCAAUUCGAACAAUUGCAAAAAUGUUACAGGUAUCGUCGUAGCCCUCUUAGAAACCUAAGCAGACGGAGGUAGGAUAAAGAUAUUAACUUCCUAAACUGGGUACACAAAAAAGUAGAAGAAACCUGAUGCAGAACAAAUCUAC